rnacentral:rRNA from 1 species
CCUACGGGAGGCAGCAGUGGGGAAUUUUGGACAAUGGGCGCAAGCCUGAUCCAGCAAUGCCGCGUGCAGGAUGAAGGCCUUCGGGUUGUAAACUGCUUUUGUACGGAGCGAAACGGUCUGCUUUAAUACAGUAGGCUAAUGACGGUACCGUAAGAAUAAGCACCGGCUAACUACGUGCCAGCAGCCGCGGUAAUACGUAGGGUGCGAGCGUUAAUCGGAAUUACUGGGCGUAAAGCGUGCGCAGGCGGUUUAUAUAAGACAGAUGUGAAAUCCCCGGGCUCAACCUGGGACCUGCAUUUGUGACUGUAUAGCUAGAGUACGGUAGAGGGGGAUGGAAUUCCGCGUGUAGCAGUGAAAUGCGUAGAUAUGCGGAGGAACACCGAUGGCGAAGGCAAUCCCCUGGACCUGUACUGACGCUCAUGCACGAAAGCGUGGGGAGCAAACCAGGAUUAGAUACCCUGGUAGUCCACGCCCUAAACGAUGUCAACUGGUUGUUGGGUCUUNACUGACUCAGUAACGAAGCUAACGCGUGAAGUUGACCGCCUUGGGGAGUACGGCGCAGUUGAAUCAAGGAAUUGAGGC